rnacentral:rRNA from 1 species
UCGCCAUCGGAUGAGCCCGCGUCGGAUUAGCUAGUUGGCGGGGUAAUGGCCCACCAAGGCGACGAUCCGUAGCUGGUCUGAGAGGAUGAUCAGCCACAUUGGGACUGAGACACGGCCCAA